rnacentral:rRNA from 1 species
GACAGAGGGGGCAAGCGUUGCUCGGAAUCACUGGGCGUAAAGGGCGCGUAGGCGGGAUGGCAAGUCAGUCGUGAAAUCUCUCGGCUCAACCGAGAAACGUCGGCUGAUACUGCCGUUCUUGAGGGAUGCAGAGGAGACUGGAAUUCCCGGUGUAGCGGUGAAAUGUGUAGAGAUCGGGAGGAACACCGGUGGCGAAGGCGGCUCUCUGGGCCUUACCUGACGCUGAGGAGCGAAAGCGUGGGUAGCGAACAAGA